GAUCCUGGCUCAGGAUGAACGCUAGCUACAGGCUUAACACAUGCAAGUCGAGGGGCAGCACGGUCUUAGCUUGCUAAGGCCGAUGGCGACCGGCGCACGGGUGAGUAACGCGUAUCCAACCUGCCUUACAUUCUUGGACAGCCUUCUGAAAGGGAGAUUAAUACAAGAUGUUAUCAUGAGUAAGCAUUUUCGCAUGAUUAAAGGUUUACCGGUGUAAGAUGGGGAUGCGUUCCAUUAG
rnacentral:rRNA from 1 species